rnacentral:rRNA from 1 species
AUUGAACGCCGGCGGCAGGCCUAACACAUGCAAGUCGAGCGGAUGACGGGAGCUUGCUCCUUGAUUCAGCGGCGGACGGGUGAGUAAUGCCUAGGAAUCUGCCUGGUAGUGGGGGACAACGUUUCGAAAGGAACGCUAAUACCGCAUACGUCCUACGGGAGAAAGCAGGGGACCUUCGGGACUUGCGCUAUCAGAUGAGCCAAGGUCGGAUUAGCUAGUUGGUGGGGUAAUGGCUCACCAAGGCGACGAUCCGUAACUGGUCUGAGAGGAUGAUCAGUCAUACUGGAACUGAGACACGGUCCAGACUCCUACGGGAGGCAGCAGUGGGGAAUAUUGGACAAUGGGCGAAAGCCUGAUCCAGCCAUGCCGCGUGUGUGAAGAAGGUCUUCGGAUUGUAAAGCACUUUAAGUUGGGAGGAAGGGCAGUAAGUUAAUACCUUGCUGUUUUGACGUUACCGACAGAAUAAGCACCGGCUAACUCUGUGCCAGCCGCCGCCGUAA